UACGUAGGUGGCAAGCGUUAUCCGGAAUUAUUGGGCGUAAAGAGGGAGCAGGCGGCAGCAAAGGUCUGUGGUGAAAGACUGAAGCUUAACCUCAGUAAGCCAUAGAAACCGGGCAGCUAGAGUGCAGGAGAGGAUCGUGGAAUUCCAUGUGUAGCGGUGAAAUGCGUAGAUAUAUGGAGGAACACCAGUGGCGAAGGCGACGAUCUGGCCUGCAACUGACGCUCAGUCCCGAAAGCGUGGGGAGCAAACAGG
rnacentral:rRNA from 1 species